rnacentral:lncRNA from 1 species
CACCGUUAAGCACAAAUACCAUCCCCAUUUUCUUACACUCAAAGGCUCUACUCCUCCCAAGAAUGAUCCAAGUGGGAUUCUCUGCGCAACAUGCGAUAAGAAGAUAAGCCCAAAGGCCCGGGCUUAUUACUGUGGAGAAUGCAGCUAUGGAGUUCAUCUUGAAUGUGUGGUCUCCGAGGUAAACUCAGCCUCCCCUGUUCCUCAGAUUUAUAUAAAACAGAGAUGUAAAGUGCCUAACCACACAACCUAACUAACGCGCAAUCUUUUCAAUAUACAUUGAUUAGUCUUUAUGCUACCUAAAAAUGAUUAACAAUUUCUUAUAUAUAUUUCAAUAAGAAGACUUCACUAUAAAUCAUAUCAAAUUAAAUAAAGUAAUUAGGUUCAUACACAUUAGCAAUUGAUUAGGUUUUUUGACAUACCGAUCUUACAGUUGGCAGAAAUAGCUUGUUUAUUUUGCAAAAUUAAUGUAAAAGGUAGUGGAAGGUGGUGGAGGCAUGCAGCUUACCACAAAGGUUCAUUCUAUCCACUUUGCUAAUUCAAUGAUAUAUUGUCUCAUUACCUGCAUUGCCGUUGCUCUCUAGAUGCUGCUUCCAUCUACACGUUAUUCUUCCCUUCAUUGUACUCACAACAUCUUCCAGCCUAGACAAAGGCAACUGAUCGGAUGGAGUGACUUAACAGAAUUAAAUUGCCUUUUUUCUGUGACCAGGACCAGGCUGACCUAGGGAAACUUCUUGUAGACGUGACAAGGGUCCAAGAUGACAUAGAUGCAAUUACCACUCGCUUGAAACCAUGUUCGAGACAACCUAGAUGCAAUUGCCACUCAGUUGAAACGCAACU